UAAGGAACUGAAGUGUGUGUGUGAGUGUGUCAGUGAGAGGACAGAAGAGCUCACAUCAGUUCAGCUUCAACAUCAGCCAUGUUCUCUGUAGCUCUGAUGCUGCUGCUGGCAGCUGGAUCCUGUGUGAACAGUAUUGAUCUCAUCCAGCCAGACUCAAUGGUUGUGCAGCCUGGACAGUCUUUGACCAUCACCUGUCGACUGUCUGGUUAUUCUGUGACUGACAGCAGCUAUGCAACAGGUUGGAUCAGACACAGUGAAGGAAAACCAAUGGACUGGAUUUUCCAUAUGUGGGGUGGUGGCACCUUUUAUCAAAAUGAUGCUCUGAAGAACAAGUUCAGCUACAGCAGAGACACUUCUGCUGGAACAGUGACUCUAACAGGACAGAAUCUGCAGCCUGAGGACACAGCUGUUUAUUACUGUGUAUGUCAACCCACAGUGACACAAACCACCAACAGACCUGCACAAAUACCCAGAGAUCAUGUGACUCAACCACACACACAAGAGGUUUUAUGAAUUAGGUUAAUUAAUUUUUGAAAGUAAUACACAAC